rnacentral:rRNA from 1 species
GGCUUAACACAUGCAAGUCGAGCGGGCAUAGCAAUAUGUCAGCGGCAGACGGGUGAGUAACGCGUGGGAACGUACCUUUUGGUUCGGAACAACACAGGGAAACUUGUGCUAAUACCGGAUAAGCCCUUACGGGGAAAGAUUUAUCGCCGAAAGAUCGGCCCGCGUCUGAUUAGCUAGUUGGUGAGGUAAUGGCUCACCAAGGCGACGAUCAGUAGCUGGUCUGAGAGGAUGAUCAGCCACAUUGGGACUGAGACACGGCCCAAACUCCUACGGGAGGCAGCAGUGGGGAAUAUUGGACAAUGGGCGCAAGCCUGAUCCAGCCAUGCCGCGUGAGUGAUGAAGGCCCUAGGGUUGUAAAGCUCUUUUGUGCGGGAAGAUAAUGACGGUACCGCAAGAAUAAGCCCCGGCUAACUUCGUGCCAGCAGCCGCGGUAAUACGAAGGGGGCUAGCGUUGCUCGGAAUCACUGGGCGUAAAGGGUGCGUAGGCGGGUCUUUAAGUCAGGGGUGAAAUCCUGGAGCUCAACUCC